GUACUGUGUCGUGUGAUAUUGCGCCAGCAUAUCCUCAUUUAAGUAUAAACGACUUUAACAUAUGGUCGAUAGCUUUAAUCAAACUUGAAAGGGCCACUGUUGAAGACCAACGGGAAGAUCAACGGGCUGUUCGGAUAUUGCAACGGUCAACACUAAUAAGAUGAAGAUAGUAAUUGUCUUCGUAGUUUUACUGGCAGUUGGGAUAGACUGCGCGUUGAAGAAGUUGGUGAGCAACAAUCCAAGUAAAAUAUGUCAAGGAGAUUUGGAGUGGUAUUCCUGCGGUUCCGCGUGUCCGCCGGUUUGCGGGAAAGAGGAGCAAUUGCUUUGCGCCCAGGUGUGUGUCUCUGGCUGUGCUUGUCCCCGGGACAAGAAAAUUCGGCUCAGCGAGACCAGCACCCAGUGUGUGAAGAGUAGGGAGGAAUGUCCGCAGUGAAACGGCAAGCACUAUCGUCUCAAUAUUCUGUCACCAAGUAUGAUUUUAAUUAAAAUGAAAUAUAAUAAACAGCAUUGAGAAACAGCAUUAUGAUUAUCUGCAAUACUUUGCCAUUUUCGGGC